AUACGUAGGUGGCGAGCGUUGUCCGGAAUUACUGGGUGUAAAGGGCGCGUAGACGGACUGGCAAGUCAGAUGUGAAAUACCGGGGCUUAACCCCGGGGCUGCAUUUGAAACUGUUGGCCUUGAGUGCAGGAGAGGGAAGCGGAAUUCCUAGUGUAGCGGUGAAAUGCGUAGAUAUUAGGAGGAACACCAGUGGCGAAGGCGGCUUUCUGGACUGUAACUGACGUUGAGGCGCGAAAGCGUGGGUAGC
rnacentral:rRNA from 1 species